rnacentral:rRNA from 1 species
CACGGAUGCUCAGUAACGGCGAGUGAAGCGGCAAAAGCUCAAAUUUGAAACCCUCGGGAUUGUAAUUUGAAGAUUUGGCAUUGGAGAAAGCUAACCCAAGUUGCUUGGAAUAGUACGUCAUAGAGGGUGACAACCCCGUCUGGCUAACCGUUCUCCAUGUAUUGCCUUAUCAAAGAGUCGAGUUGUUUGGGAAUGCAGCUCAAAGUGGGUGGUAAACUCCAUCUAAAGCUAAAUACUGGUGAGAGACCGAUAGCGAACAAGUACUGUGAAGGAAAGGUGAAAAGAACUUUGAAAAGAGAGUGAAAUAGUAUGUGAAAUUGUUGAUAGGGAAGGAAAUGAGUGGAGAGUGGCCGAGGUUUCAGCCGCCCCUCGUGGGCGGUGUACUGCCGACGCCGAGUCAUCGAUAGCGAGACGAGGGUUACAAAUGGGAGCGCCUUUCGGGCGUUCUCCCCUAACCCUCCACACUGCCACCGACGACAUAAUCCACCCAUUUCACCCGUCUUAAAAAAAGGAACAAAAUGUUUUUUGGUC